CCCAUGCGGCAGCCUACCAUGCAGUCGAGCGGUAGCACAGAGAGCUUGCUCUCGGGUGACGAGCGGCGGACGGGUGAGUAAUGUCUGGGAAACUGCCUGAUGGAGGGGGAUAACUACUGGAAACGGUAGCUAAUACCGCAUAACGUCGCAAGACCAAAGUGGGGGACCUUCGGGCCUCAUGCCAUCAGAUGUGCCCAGAUGGGAUUAGCUAGUAGGUGGGGUAAUGGCUCACCUAGGCGACGAUCCCUAGCUGGUCUGAGAGGAUGACCAGCCACACUGGAACUGAGACACGGUCCAGACUCCUACGGAGGCAGCAGACG
rnacentral:rRNA from 1 species